AUUGAACGCUGGCGGCAGGCCUAACACAUGCAAGUCGAACGAGUGGCGGACGGGUGAGUAAUGUCUGGGAAACUGCCUGAUGGAGGGGGAUAACUACUGGAAACGGUAGCUAAUACCGCAUACCAUCGGAUGUGCCCAGAUGGGAUUAGCUAGUAGGUGGGGUAAAGGCUCACCUAGGCGACGAACCCUAGCUGGUCUGAGAGGAGGACCAGCCACACUGGAAUUGAGACACGGUCCAGCCUCCUACGGUAGGCAGCAGUGGGUAAUAUUGCACAUUGGGCGCAAGCCUUAUGCAGCCAUGCCGCUUGUAUGAAGAAGGCCUUCGGGUUGUAAAGUACUUUCAGCUGGGAGGCGUUACCCGCAGAAGAAGCACCGGCUAACUCCGUGCCAGCAGCCGCGGUAAUAC
rnacentral:rRNA from 1 species